rnacentral:rRNA from 1 species
UACGGGGGGGGCAAGCGUUGUUCGGAAUUACUGGGCGUAAAGGGCUCGUAGGCGGCCAACUAAGUCCGACGUGAAAUCCCCAGGCUUAACCUGGGAACUGCGUCGGAUACUGGAUGGCUUGAAUCCGGGAGAGGGAUGCGGAAUUCCAGGUGUAGCGGUGAAAUGCGUAGAUAUCUGGAGGAACACCGGUGGCGAAGGCGGCCUUCUGGACAGUGACUGACGCUGAGACGCGAAAGCGUGGGGAGCAAACGGG